AGGAGGUGGUCCAGCUGUCUUGGAGGGGGUUCAAGGCGGUGUGGGGCCUCAGGGGUACCUUAGACAGGGAGAUAGAUCAGCACCAGGAGGCCAGAGACCCUGGCGAAAGGGCAUACAGAGGUACAGUGGCCCUACAAGUAGAAAUCUCCAGUGGUAAAGUACUCCAAAAAUCCUGGAAACAAACCAGUAACCUGUACUUUGGGAGCCAGACUGUCUUUAUUCUUCACACACCCUGUAUCUUUAGCUUUAUUUGGUUCUCCUUUUAUAUUUAGUUAUGGCUUCUAGAAAGGUCAGGCUAUGGCAGCUAUGCUAAUGGAAACCCAAAGAAAGUGUCUGCAUCCAUGCUUGGAACAGGAGAUUAAAGGGAAGCCAUGUUCCCUCUCUGCCCUGGGGGUGCAGGUAGAGAGGAGUGGAGUGAAAGGGUGGAGGAGCCACGGUCGGGCCCUGUGCUCGGUCAUUGAGUCCCCUGGGUGCCAUCUUCCCAGCAGAGACCUUGGAAGUUCUGAUUAGAGGCCCUGACCCGUGCUGAGCCUGGUGCUGUCGGGGUAACUUCUAGCACCAACCCUGCAGGUGACUUUGGGCAGCACCGCUGUCCUGUGCCCGUUUUUCCGUGUCAUUACCAGAGGCAGACAGUGUGUGGCUGGUGAACUGGAGAACCUAGCUGCCAGGCUGGGCCACACCCAGCACACACUGGCUUUCACUUCUCUUACUCUGGCUGAGCAAUUUUCCUCUUCAUUGAGGAGCUGAUGAUAUGCUGUGACUGGCUCAGGUAGGGCCCCUGGGAGGAAAGAACAUCCCCCAGGUUGCUAGGUAAUCCACUUCACCAUCCUUGGGAAGUGGCAGUAUCAGCUGCUGUGAGUAGAUGUGGGCAAGGGGAGGCAAGGAGCCCUCCCCAGUCCCAUCCUUGAGGAGGGAUUCUCCUGUAUCUGACCUGAGUUAUACACUCCCUGCUAAGAUGAUAUGUGUCAUCGCACACAUCACUGCUGUCAACUUUGGGGGGGAUGCAGAGGGGAGGAAUAUAUAGAUAAGGGUCCAUUAGGAACACAGAGACCAGGGUCCCCAGAGAGUGGUCUGUUGUCUGGCUCCAUUAUGUAUCUUGAGGUUGCACAGGGAUGGCCAGCAUGAUGGUGCUUGUUUGGGACUGGGGCUGUGAAGAGGUGGGGCCUAGGGCCUGCAUUCAAGUCCCUUGCCUUCUCUGGUGAGACAGGGAAACACAUGCUUAUGAGUUAACAUUUUACAGUGAACUUUGGACUAAACCCAGAGGACCUCAAUUCCAGGACUGGCUGUGCUAUUCAACAGUUGUGUGUCUUUAGGCAAAUCAUACCUCUCUGGGCCUCAGAUCUUCCAUCUGUAAAAGGAGCAUGGUAACACCUGCCCUACUGACCCCACACAGCCCCUGCCAAGAUGAAAUAAGCUCUAAGCCGAAAAGCACUCUGUACUGGAGGUACUGUCGAGUUUCGGCUUCACAGAGAGGAGGGAGACAGAGACAAGAGUAGACACUGUGGCUGAGCUUAAGGGACCAGAGAGGUCUGACCCAGGCUGGAUGACCACUUAGAACAUGGCCCCAGAUAGAAACAGGCAGCCAGGGGGCCUGCAGGAGCUGAGCAUGAAGGGCAGACAGCACACUGGUCAGUCCGAGCUGGUAGACAGUCCAGGAGAAAAGAGCCAGCUGUCAGCAGUAUUUGAAGAGCAGGAGGCAAUACGAAUAAGGAGAUGGUGAGAAUGAAAGAAGAAGACAGACCAAACUCAGAAAAGCCCCACCCCACUCCCCGAGCCCCAAGGAGCAGGUGAGAACUGCCCAGAAGCUCCCAGAACCUCCAGCAUCUUGUUAAUACAUAACUCACACUCUCAAAUAGCCUGCAGCUUGUCACAGGGACGGCCUUCUGCUCCUGGACCAGAGGCCCAGGGAAGUGACCCACCUAAGGUGAGGAGCCUGCGUCACACUGAACUUGAGGUCUCCUCUUGCUAAGCUGGAGGCUCAAAGCCCAGAGCUCCUUCUGUAACAUCCGACUCCUGGCUCUGCCAAGCUGGGUCAGAUAUCUGUACCCUUGCAAACUGGAGGUAUUGGAAACUGAGGUCAGAAUUGUGCCAUUUGUCUGUAUGCAUCUGAAACUGGCACCACUGUCCUAAGCAUUCUCUUCCAGGGGAGAAGACAGAGGGGCCCAACUCUGCCUAGCAGGAAACAGCCCCACAUAACCCAGAGAGCACAGCAGCCCUGGAGCUACAUCCUUAUCUGGGCCCUGGCAGGAAACAACAUGGGAGGGUGAGCAUUCAGGAAGCUGAGAUGACAGGAGAUGGACAGUAGACCAAGCCUUCCAGAGCUGGACCAGGGCUGCAUCUGUUUACUGGGACGUGGGUGAAGCUACAGUAAGUGUUCUCCCCAUCUCAGACAGACCCCGCAUAACACCAUCCACCACACAGAUGGCCCUUGGCCACCACAAAGGGACUAUAACCUGCCUGUGCCAGCUCUGUCCUGUAGUCCAAGGAAUGAACCACUCCUUGUGGAUGGGCAGCCAAGGGGCUGAGGGGGCUCCUCCCUAAAAAACCAACACUUUAAAUACUGGAAAGAGCACCCAGCCUACAAGCCAAUGACCUGGAUUCUGGUCUCAGUUCCUCUAGCUACUGAUUUGAGGACAGCAAGCAAAUUACUCAACUUCCAUUUCCUGAUUUAUAAAUGGAAUGACUCAAUGACUCUAAGUUCCAUUCUAUAUUUCAGCAUUCAGUUUUUAACAAGGUAAAUUAGUAAGUGGCAAUAAAUCCUUAUUAGUUUGCCUGCAUUGGUGUUUCUGACAUGUAAGUCAGGUCACAGACCAGUGGCAGAGUCUCCCUGAGUCCAAAUGCACACUUAGCACAGUCUGUUGUCCCAAUAUGUGACAUCCCUCCAGUAGAUGACAACCCCAUUUUCCUUUGGAGAACCAUCUUUCUACCAUGUAACCCAGGCCUGGCUGACCAGAGGACCAAAUGCACCCGGACACAGUACUUGAUACCGAGCUGGGUGUGGGCCCCAAUAUUCUGCCACAGGGGAACUGAGAGUGGGUUGCACGGUGAAGAGCAGGGUGGGAUGGAUGUUGGUUGGUUGAGCCCCUCAUCUUCUGACUAUAAGCCUUUCCAAACCUGUUUCUCAGCCUGUUAAAGAGUCCUGUUUGGCUUUUUAAAUGAUGUCAGAUACUCCACUGAACUCCAGACCUACCUAUUCCAUUCAUUUCUGGAUGCCACCCCUUAGGUGAGGUGAUACCCCAAAAUACCUCAAACACAACCUGCCCCAAACCAAAUUCAUGCUUGCUCUAAGCCCCCCGAACCCAGUCCCCUAUCUGUAUUACCAGUUUCUAGGAAAGGGACAUCAUCUAUCCAACCCUGAAAGCUGGGAGUCACAGCUCUAUGCCCACCCCUUCCUUUCACCGCCCUCGGCCAACUUACUGCAAUGGCCACCUGCUUUUUACCAUCUAAAUCUCUUCUCUUUCUCUUAUCUCCAUGUCUACGACCAUCGCACUUUCCAAGGGACUGUCAUCAUUCUUACCGUAACCUCCAAACAGCUAACACACUAGAUCUACUGAAGAGACCCCUCCACUUCAUUCUCCACUGGAGGCCAAAGUGAUCUUCACAAAUGCAAUUCCUAUCUGAUCCUCAUCCCCAAUUCCUCCCAGCAAAACAGUCAAACCUCCCAAUGCCUUGUGGCAAAGACUGACCCUUGGCAGCCCUCAGCCUGUGGAGAACAAACAAUCAUUAACAACCCCUCCCACACUUCCUGCUAACAGAAUGCUUGUGUGGCCAGCCCAGCCCUACAGGACAUCCUCCGCCAUCCUCCCUGCUGGGAGGGCUGCUGAUUUGCUCAGGCUGGGAACUUGUGGCCUGCCCUCGGUGCUAGGAUUCUACAGCUCAAGGACUGCAGAGAGAAAGGGCAGAGCAGGGUGAGGAUUGCUCUCUGGGGUCCCUGGGUCAUUACCCCACACCUCAGAGUCCCCUGCAACCUCUCGCAAGCCCUGCAACACACCCUUUCAGGAGCAGAGAAGCCCCACACCCUACCCAGACAGAGGCAGGGCACUUCCUGUGUCCCUCUGGAAUGCUUCCCACCCUUACCCAAGAAAGGAGGAAGGGAAAAGGACGUUAAUAGGCAAAAUCAUAAUCUGCGGAGAGAUGAGGAUCACACCACAGAGAACAAUGUCCCUCAAGGCCGGAGACCCACGUGCUCUUGGCAUCCCUCAGAUCUCAGCAGCCAGUAGGGGGUAUGUCAGUAAAUCACCUACCCUCUCUGGGUUUCCUCAUUUGCAAAGAGUCACAUCCUUCUAAAGGCCUAAAGGAGAAGCCCAUUGAGGAUGUUUUUCAACAUCUGAUACAAGAACUAUUCAUUUGUUUUAAUAUUACUAUUACACAAAGUUUUAAAAAUUUAAUAUUACUAUUAUACACAAAAAUUUAGCAUUGAUACCAAAAUAAAGAAAAAAC